GGACCCGUCGUCUAGCCCGGACUAGGACACGGGCCUUCGGAGCCCGGGGUCGGGGGUUCGAAUCCCCCCGGGUCCA
rfam:Candidatus Bathyarchaeota archaeon B24 scaffold119, whole genome shotgun sequence.